GAUGAACGCUGGCGGCGUGCCUAAUACAUGCAAGUCGAGCGAACAGACGAGGAGCUUGCUCCUCUGACGUUAGCGGCGGACGGGUGAGUAACACGUGGAUAACCUACCUAUAAGACUUGGAUAACUUCGGGAAACCGGAGCUAAUACCGGAUAAUAUAUUGAACCGCAUGGUUCAAUAGUGAAAGACGGUUUUGCUGUCGAUUCUAGAUGGAUCCGCGCCGCAUUAGCUAGUUGGUAAGGUAACGGCUUACCAAGGCAACGAUGCGUAGCCGACGUGAGAGGGUGAUCGGCACCACUGAGGCUGAGACACGGUCCAGACUCCUACGGGAGGCAGCAGUAGGGAAUCUUCCGCAAUGGGCGAAAGCCUGACGGAGCAACGCCGCGUGAGUGAUGAAGGUCUUCGGAUCGUAAAACUCUGUUAUUAGGGAAGAACAAAUGUGUAAGUAACUAUGCACGUCUUGACGGUACCUAAUCAGAAAGCCACGGCUAACUACGUG
rnacentral:rRNA from 1 species